rnacentral:rRNA from 1 species
AUUGAACGCUGGCGGCAGGCCUAACACAUGCAAGUCGAGCGGAUGAGGGAAGCUUGCUUCCCGAUUUAGCGGCGGACGGGUGAGUAAUGCCUAGGAAUCUGCCUAUUAGUGGGGGAUAACGUUCCGAAAGGAACGCUAAUACCGCAUACGUCCUACGGGAGAAAGUGGGGGACCUUCGGACCUCACGCUAAUAGAUGAGCCCAGGUCGGAUUAGCUAGUUGGUGAGGUAACGGCUCACCAAGGCGACGAUCCGUAGCUGGUCUGAGAGGAUGAUCAGCCACACUGGAACUGAGACACGGUCCAGACUCCUACGGGAGGCAGCAGUGGGGAAUAUUGGACAAUGGGCGAAAGCCUGAUCCAGCCAUGCCGCGUGUGUGAAGAAGGUCUUCGGAUUGUAAAGCACUUUAAGUUGGGAGGAAGGGUUGUAAGCUAAUAUCUUGCAGCUUUGACGUUACCAACAGAAUAAGCACCGGCUAACUCUGUGCCAGCAGCCGCCGUAAUAC